CGACAACAUCACACCCUCCACUACCAUUACAAUAUCACCAAAUGGGGCUUCUACUGUUACUAUCAAUACUCCCUCUGUCAAUAAUAAUAUAAACAAUAAUAAUGUGAGCAAUACCCCAUGCAAUAAUGAGACACUUGAAGAGGAGGAAGAGGAGUGUCCCACACCACCCCUUCGCUCGUCCCAUCCAGUUCCACCAUUAAGAGGGGCAGUACGACGACAGCUGCCUUGGAGCCAGAGUGUGGAGUUAGUUGAGACUCCUGUUGAUGAUGAAGAGGAAGAUGAUGACAUACAUGCUCAUGCAAGAACACGCCGGGCUCACUCUUACAAUGACUAUGAGAACUAUUUUUAUAUUUAGUCUUUCUUUUAGUCACAAUGGAAACUGAAGUUAAUUCUUUUAUAGUCAAAAGUAGAGAAGUUACAGAAACAGCCAUAAUUUUGCUACUAUAUAUUCUUGUUAUGGAAGUUGACUGAAUCAAACUCAUUUGAAAUUUUAAUGGAUGUGUGAUGAAAGGUCUGAGUGAUUUAUUUAAUGCCCGAUAUCAGUUGCCUUGCAGUAACAUUUUUAUUUCUACACGUCAGUUAGGAUAAACAGAUAUGAAUUCAUUUGUAUUUUAUUUAGCUGUGAGCUUUGUUGUAUAUACUGUCAGGCACAUUUUGGAAUGUUUAUAUUUGUAAAUAAGUUUUCUUUUUGUUUUCUAAAAGACGUUAUAAUACACUGAAUUAUUCAUGUCCAUCAUGAAUUGUGACAAUGUUAAAAAAUGGUAUUAAUGCAAGGGAUCUAGCAGUCUUACAUUUUUCGUGGCUAACAUUAAAUUGAAUUGUCUGUUAUGGUAUUGGUUUGUAGAAUGCAUAAUGUAUCAGGCCCAAUAUUGAGGAGUCUGUUUUGGUUAUUAUAUUCACUUAACAGAUAAGAUAAAUACUUGCACAUCAGACGAGCAAUAUGGCUGCUCUGAACUGAACUGCUAAAUAUCUCAUUUUAGUCCUAAAUAUGCUUUCUGAGUCAAGUUAAUGGCAUGAUCGAUUGCCCAGUGACUGUAAAGGGUUUUUCUUCCCAAUACAAGUAUAAACAAAUCUGGAAGUACCCUAUAAAACCUAUAUUAUUUCUGAAUUAUUACUUUCAGGGGCAGAUGUUUGUCUCGUAUUCAGUAGAGCUUUAAGUUGUAUAUAACUGUAUAUGUGUACCUAUUGUAAAAUAUGUAUUGCCAAAGAUUGUUAAGUUUAAUUUGAAAUAUAUUUCAACCCAAGA